GAUGAACGCUGGCGGCGUGCCUAAUACAUGCGAGUCGAGCGAACGGACGAGACGCUUGCUUCUCUGAUGUUAGCGGCGGACGGGUGAGUAACACGUGGAUAACCUACCUAUCAGACUGGGAAAACUUCGGGAAACCGGCGCUAAUACCGGAUAAUAUUUUGAACCGCAUGGUUCAAAAGUGAAAGACGGUCUUGCUGUCACUUAUCGAUGGAUCCGCGCUGCAUUAGCUAGUUGGUAAGGUAACGGCCUACCAAGGCAACGAUGCAUAGCCGACUUGAGAGGGUGAUCGGCCACACUGGAACUGGGACACGGUCCAUGCUCCUGCGAGAGGCAGCAGUAGCCAAUCUGCCGCAAUGGGCGAAAGCCUGACGGAGCAACGCCGCGUGAGUGAUGAAGGUCUUCGGAUCGUAAAACUCUGUUAUUAGGGAUGAACAGAUGUGUAAGGAACUGUGCACAUCUUGACGGUACCUAAUCAGAAAGCCACGGCUAACUACGUG
rnacentral:rRNA from 1 species